GUGGCGGUCUGGUCCCAGCGGGCGUCCUCGUCCAGGAGGGCGUGCUCGCCGAACCGGUCGCCGUCGGCGAGCACGUCGAGGGCCACCUCCUCGCCGUACGGGCCUGCCGAGGUCUGGCUGACGCGGCCGUGGGCGAUCAGAUGCAGGUGGUCGGCGGGCGCCCCGCGCUCGGCCAGCGUCUCGCCGACCCGGAAGUCGCGCUGCACGCACCGGUCGGCGAUGGCGGUCAGCACGUCCACGUCGUCGAAGCCGCGCAGCAGCGCCAGUUCGCCGAGUUCGCGGGGGAUCACACGGACGUCGGAGCCGUCCUGGACGAACUCGACGGUGCCGUCGCCGACGGUGUGGGUCAGACGGCGGUUCACGCGGUAGACCCCGCCCUUGGUCUCCACCCAGGGGAGCAUCCGCAGCAGCCAGCGGGAGGUGAUCUCCUGCAUCUGCGGGGCGGACUUGGUCGUGCUGGCGAGGUUGCGGGCGGCCGCCGUGCCCAGGCUGGUCUGCCGCGGCGG
rnacentral:antisense_RNA from 1 species